GCCGGGGUGGUGAAACUGGUAGACGCAGCAGACUCAAAAUCUGCCGGGGCUUGCGCCCCGUGCCGGUUCGAUUCCGGCCCUCGGCACCA
rnacentral:tRNA from 1 species